rnacentral:rRNA from 1 species
UACGGGGGGGGGCAAGCGUUGUUCGGAAUUACUGGGCGUAAAGGGCUCGUAGGCGGCCAACUAAGUCAGACGUGAAAUCCCUCGGCUUAACCGGGGAACUGCGUCUGAUACUGGAUGGCUUGAGGUUGGGAGAGGGAUGCGGAAUUCCAGGUGUAGCGGUGAAAUGCGUAGAUAUCAGGAGGAACACCGAUGGCGAAGGCGGCGACCUGGGUAGAUACUGACGCUGAGGUGCGAAAGCGUGGGGAGCAAACAGG